GUCCACGCCGUAAACGAUGUCUACUAGCCGUUGGGAGCCUUGAGCUCUUAGUGGCGCAGCUAACGCACUAAGUAGACCGCCUGGGAGUACGGUCGCAAGAUUAAACUCAAAUGAAUUGACGGGGCCCGCACAAGCGGUGGAGCAUGUUGUUUAAUUCGACGCAACGCGAAGAACCUUACCAGGUCUUGACAUCCAGAGAACUUUCCAGAGAUGGAUUGGUGCCUUCGGGAGCUCUGAGACAGGUGCUGCAUGGCUGUCGU
rnacentral:rRNA from 1 species